UCUGUUUCGAUGGCAUUCAUCGUUGACCAAAAAUACAUAAACAUACCAAACGGCAAAUGUCAGCUCUGCACAGUUUGUGCAUGAUAGAAAUUACAUGCACACAUGCAGAGCUUUUGCAUGCACACACAGGUGCUG